UUAGCUCAGUCAGUUAGAGCAUGGUGCUAAUAAUGCCAAGGUCGCGGGUUCGAUCCCCGUA
rnacentral:tRNA from 1 species